GGAAUAUUGGGCAAUGGAGGAAAUUCUGACCCAGCGACGCCGCGUGCGGGAUGAAGGCCUUCGGGUUGUAAACCGCUUUCAGCAGGGAAGAAGCGAAAGUGACGGUACCUGCAGAAGAAGCACCGGCUAACUAUGUGCCAGCAGCCGCGGUAAUACAUAGGGUGCAAGCGUUGUCCGGAAUUAUUGGGCGUAAAGAGCUCGUAGGUGGUUCGUCACGUCGGAUGUGAAACUCUGGGGCUUAACCCCAGACCUGCAUUCGAUACGGGCGAGCUUGAGUAUGGUAGGGGAGUCUGGAAUUCCUGGUGUAGCGGUGGAAUGCGCAGAUAUCAGGAGGAACACCAAUGGCGAAGGCAGGACUCUGGGCCAUUACUGACACUGAGGAGCGAAAGCGUGGGGAGCGAACAGGAUUAGAUACCCUGGUAGUCCACGCCGUAAACGGUGGGCACUAGUUGUGGGGACCUUCCACGGUCUCUGCGACGCAGCUAACGCAUUAAGUGCCCCGCCUGGGGAGUACGAUCGCAAGAUUAAAACUCAAAGGAAUUGACGG
rnacentral:rRNA from 1 species